AUUGAACGCUGGCGGCAUGCCUUACACAUGCAAGUCGAACGGCAGCACGGGUGCUUGCACCUGGUGGCGAGUGGCGAACGGGUGAGUAAUACAUCGGAACAUGUCCUGUAGUGGGGGAUAGCCCGGCGAAAGCCGGAUUAAUACCGCAUACGAUCUACGGAUGAAAGCGGGGGACCUUCGGGCCUCGCGCUAUAGGGUUGGCCGAUAGCUGAUUAGCUAGUUGGGGGGGUAAAGGCCUACCAAGGCGACGAUCAGUAGCUGGUCUGAGAGGACGACCAGCCACACUGGGACUGAGACACGGCCCAGACUCCUACGGGAGGCAGCAGUGGGGAAUUUUGGACAAUGGGCGAAAGCCUGAUCCAGCAAUGCCGCGUGUGUGAAGAAGGCCUUCGGGUUGUAAAGCACUUUUGUCCGGAAAGAAAUCCUUGGCUCUAAUACAGUCGGGGGAUGACGGUACCGGAAGAAUAAGCACCGGCUAACUACGUG
rnacentral:rRNA from 1 species